rfam:Aedes aegypti strain Liverpool supercont1.176 genomic scaffold, whole genome shotgun sequence.
UGCCCAGCAACUCCUAUUCCUACCUCCUCGUGGUACUGGCCGGGGUACGAGUAACCUUGGGGGAGAACGGGUAACCAACCCCCGGUGGGAACUUUGGUCGUAUGCUGACAGGGAAGG